UUCCAGACUCCUCGGGAGGCAGCAGUGAGGAAUAUUGGUCAAUGGCCGAGAGGCUGAACCAGCCAAGUCGCGUGAGGGAUGACGGCCCUACGGGUUGUAAACCUCUUUUGUCGGGGAGCAAAGAGAGUCACGUGUGGCUCAUUGAGAGUACCCGAAGAAAAAGCAUCGGCUAACUACGUGCCAGCAGCCGCGGUAAUACGUAGGGGGCAAGCGUUAUCCGGAUUUACUGGGUGUAAAGGGAGCGUAGACGGCAGCACAAGUCUGAAGUGAAAUGCCGGGGCUUAACCCCGGAACUGCUUUGGAAACUGUGCAGCUAGAGUGCAGGAGAGGUAAGUGGAAUUCCUAGUGUAGCGGUGAAAUGCGUAGAUAUUAGGAGGAACACCAGUGGCGAAGGCGGCUUACUGGACUGUAACUGACGUUGAGGCUCGAAAGCGUGGGGAGCAAACAGGAUUAGAUACCCCGGUAC
rnacentral:rRNA from 1 species